UUCUUAGUCUAGCCUAACUGCUGAACUGCCUGCUCAAAAUACAAAAAUUACUACAGUCAUCGGCCAUGCUUAUGAGCAUGGGCUUACAUCCUGUACAGAGGACUACGACAUCAGCACCUACGACAAUACCAAAAGCGAUGGCUGCUUGUCCUGCUUGAGCCG